CCAGACGGUUAUGAGAAAGCCUCAAUGGGGAACUGCAGCUGUCCCCCUCAGUUCCCUCCUCCUGGGGAUUCGAGGCCCUCACUGAGGAGUGUUGAGUGUCGGGGACCUAUUGCACCAGCUCCACCCAGUGUCCUGACUCCCCAGAGCCAGCACCAAUCCAGGGCUGGCUGUGACCGACCCCCCCCCCCCCCCCCCAGACUAAGACACUGAGCACAGAUCAGCACAGUUGGGGGUGGAGAAAGAAAUUCACAAACAUUUUCUUAUCUGUUCUUCACAGUGAGCCUGGGCUGCCAAUUCCCAAGGUCACCCAAUUUGCAAAUGGAUGAGCCUGGGAUACUGGUACAGACUGAGUUCUCUGCUUCCAGGAGAGAAUGCCUGCUCACGCCAUUCCCUCACAUGGCCAAGUAGAUUUCAUCCAGACAAGUCACACCCUGGCAGUGACAUUGGAUAAGUUAAUUCCCACAUCCCUUCUCUCCUCACACUUUGCAGUGCUGAGGAUGGAAUCCAGGGCCUUGCUGCUGGGCACGGGCUCCAGCUUGCCUCAUUCUUAUCUUGUCUGUUUUACAUCUUUGAGAAAUGUUUCAUUAGUGCUUAAUCUGUCACAUUCAGGGUUGAUGGGUUAGGAAUGUUUGUGACAGAAACACAUAUAUAAAUCCAGAAACUUUACAGUACAGCAAAAUUUUGUAGGAAAGAAGUAUGAAGAAGACAGACCUAGUUUGGGGAAUCACUGUGCCAAGGAGUUGGUUGAAUAAAACACUUAUGUAUUAUUUUUACACAUAUUCACACCAAAGGUUCUGGGUGGUUUUGGUAAUUCAUAGGGUUAAACACCUAAGCACUUGUGAUAGGAAAAGACACACACACACACACACACACACACACUUUUAAAAAUGUCCAUUCCUGUCUGGCUUCCUUACAAAGUCAUCAGUGAAAAUUGCCACAUGGUUACUUUGCCUGUUGUGUUUCAGACAAAAUUCAAUAAUGCCCAAGGUAAACGAGUGGAAUGAGAGAGGUGGGAGCUGGCACUGGACCAGGUGGACACGUGUGUUCUUCUUUAAGUGGGCAGCCCAUACUGGGCACAGGCUUUUGUUACCUUGUGUAAUGUCUUGUCAUAGGUCCCAGAAUUGCACUUUAUGUAAUAAAUUACAAGUCUGUGUCUGUUUAUACGUGAGAUGCACAGGUUAUCUUUAGCGCACAUGCGAGUGUUUGUGUGUAUGUGUGUGUGUGUGUGUGUGCUCAUGCGUGCUCGUGUGCAUAUUUACUUAAAUCAGUGAAUUUCUAGGCAGGGCCAGUUGGUUUAUCAUUUAGGAUUCAGGGAUGCUGCAAAUAUAUCUGGAAUAAAAUGGGAAUUAAUAUCUUUCCAAAGACAGGCUGAGAAAUCUUGUUCCUAUAAAUUGCUUCCUUUCUCUGGUGGCAGGCUAGUCAGACAUGGGCCACCAUUUCACAAGUAUAGUCAAGAGAAUAAAGAACACCAAAAUUAAGACCAGUCUGUCCAUGCCGUGUUGGUACAGGAUUCACAGUUCAACUCACCUGUGCUCAAAGGUGAACUUCUAUGCCUUUUGUGAGGUGGUGAGCUGUCAAAAUGGGUCACUGCCACAGCAAGGCAGCAGCUCCAGCAGCCUAGUCACAUUCAAGAUGCUCCAAGGGACUGUCUGAUAUUCAGCCAGAGAGCAGCAUUAGUCUCUAUAGGUUAAUCCGUGCUCAUCCUGCUUCUGGAAGGUGGUUAAUUUUUUCUGGUUAUGAUAUCAAAUAUGGUUAAGUUUUCCUUGACAGUCUCUGGUUUGUGAUUUUCUACCUGGAGCCUCACACUCCCUGCCCUCCUCCUCGGCCCCCCAGCCAUGCUGAGGCUCCCUUCAGCCUCUAUUCAAUCCACCUGGGCACAGCCAUCUUCAGGAGCAUGUUAUUAAAGCAUCAUUAGUAUGCAGCAAGGUGCCCUUCUCUCUGCUAAAUCACCUUGUAAAGUGGUCCUCACAAAAUGCACGUUCUUUGUUAUGACAGCAAGGCUUCAUGUUUCCAAUGCAAGCUAAUAAGACUUGAAGUAGAGAGCUAACUGAGGUGACCCAGCCCAUCAGGGGUGAGGGAGGUUGAUAAGAGAUAAGAGACAUGAGUCCAAGGGUCACCCCAAGAGCAGCCGGAGAAAAGAGCACCUUCUGUAGGAGAAACAGGCAAAGGGGUGUGUGAGCGACCAGGCAGGACUAAGAAAGGAAAUGAGAGCCAUUGUGUGCACCUGGUGGAAAAGGAUCCUGGAGAUGUAGCUGGAGAGGGAAAUGGCCACAGAAAGCAGAAAGUGGUCAAGAAUAAUUGUGGUCUGGUGAGCACAUGAGCAGUUUGGAGGGACUGAGGAAACUCUGAGCAGCAGCCUGAGUGCCGUCUGCUAGCUGGAAAAACCUCUAACACCCUCCGUGGACUUUGGUGGUGCUUCCAUGACUUGUACCAGUUUUUCCUAAUUUCCUAAUCCACCAAAUCGAGCUAGUAACCCUGGCCCUGCUGUCCACUGUGGGCUGUUGUGAGGAUCAAGGGAGAUUACCGUGGUGCAGAGGACUAUAAUCUAGAAAAUGCUCCCCAGGGCAAGACUUGAGCAGGAUGCUGUUGUGGGAGCACAGGAGAGGCAAGUCCCCGUCCUUGCGGAACCGCAUUUCCCAACUGAAGAAAGAGCCCACGCUGUUUUCUUUCCAUUUUUCUAUUCACGGGGGUCGUUACUAUGUUCGGAUGAACUAGGGUGACUUACAGCAAUUGGUUGAAGGGGGCCCAUAGAAGAAAAUGCAGUUGAACUUUUCUUCAUCACUGACCAUCGCCGAGGGGACCCUGCUUCUCCAGCCCCUUAGCUUAAGAUUGAAACCAUAGGGGCUGGGAUGUGGCUCAAGCGGUAGCGCGCUCACCUGGCAUGCGUGCGGCCCGGGUUUGAUCCUCAGCACCACAUACAAACAAAGAUGUUGUGUCCGCCAAAUACUAAAAAAUAAAUAUUUAAAAAAAAAAAAAAAGAUUGAAACCAUAACAAACACAAGGACACUCACUGGGGGACAGUGUUUGAACUUGAGUUUAUGAAACUCUCCUCUUACAGUCCCUUCCUCAAAUGUGGAGACUGGCCCUUUUCUGUGACUCUGCUGCAAAAGACAGCUCAUCUCUGAACUGAGUUGGUGUCAAGAAUUGCCAUCACUUAUGACCUAGGUCUGAUUUAAACCCCCUUUGCUUGGGGUCUGUUUUUUAAAAGCCUGCAUAAGCAGCAUAAGGCAGUUGGAUUCCAUGUCCACCCUGUUCCUGCCUUAAGGUCUUUUGUUUUCUAAAGAAAGGUGAUCCAUAGGGUUAGUGUGAACUCCCCCACAGGUGGGGUGGUCUUCCCACGGGAGGCCAAGCAGCGAGUCCAUUCUGCAGUGUUCUGCAGAUUCCAGAGCCCCACCCAGACCUACAGAAUCAGAAUCUCCCCUGGUGUAAGCUGUACCCGUGUAGGGUACUCUGAGCCCUGGUUCACAGUUUUGGGGAAGAGCUACCUCCUGGGCCUGCUUGGUGCAUGUUAAAAUGCCCGGCUGCUCUUCAGCUGUGCAAAAGCAAACUGGGAGCACGAGGCUUUCUCCUCUCGCCCUCUGGCCUCCAGCAUGGAGAGGGUGGCUCUUCUGCUUCUGUGUGUCUUCCAGGCAUGAACUUGAGCAGUGAUUCUCAGGCUUUUCAGCCUCAACACCUCUUGAAAAUCUUUAAAAAUUGCCAAGGAUCCCCAAGGAACUUUUGUUUGAUAUUUGCCCUAUUGCAAAUUAAUACUGGGAAAUUUCUAAAACCUAAGCACACAUUCUGCUAACCAUCAGAAUGAUGACAUCAGCUCACUCACGUAGCUUCCGGAAAACUCCACCUACACUCAGAAUAACAGUGAAAAAAGGAAAUAUAUCUCAGUACUGAUAUUGAGGAGCUAGGAAAGAUCUGGGGUUCUUGAGGCACACUGAUCUGUAGAACACAGGUCCCAUCCUACUGUGCUGUUUCUCUGUGGAACACAGGAGUCAAGCUGAUCGUUGAGUCACCCACCAAGAAGGGCUGUAGAGAAGGAUCUGAGCCCCACCCAGUUCUCUACUUUUACAGAUGAGGAACCUGAGCCCCCAAGAAUGAAGUGACAUCACCAAGCUCCCACAGCCUGGGUGCUCAGGUGCAUUUAUACCCUGCAGCGUCAGCCCACUGGGCUUAUGCCCAUCAGCUUAGUGGCUUAGUGGCUUAGGGCCCAGGCUUCAUUCAGAGGUAGCUUGGUCCCAAUCCCAGCUCUGCAACUGUGUGAGUGUGGGCAAGUCUUUUAACUUCUGUGGCCUCAGCUUCCUCAUCUAUAAAAUGCAGAAUAAACAAAUAUCUGCCUCAUAGGCUUGCUGAGAAAAGCAAAUGAGAUAGUUCAUGUAAAUGGCCUGGCAUCUUACAUAAGUAUCUCUCACUUACAUCCAGACACAUGCGCGCACUCACACGCACUCCUGCCUUAACUUCUCAGCUAACUUGUGGAGAGCUACAUUCAUAAUAUUGCAGCAAUCACUAGUCCUAGAAAGUGCCACCAGUUCUUACCCAUCUUAUGGUCUCAACUGCUCUCUAUCCAAAAACCUUCCUGUUGGCUCCACAGCGCUGCAGUGUGAGGGGAUUCCAGGAUUCAUGGUGAAUGCCUCUGUCUGUCUUCCCAACAGGCUGAAGACAGAGCUAACAUGGGUCUAAUUAGUUACAUGUCAGACCCAACAAUCCAUGCUGGGUGUCAUGUAGGACCGAGCAGUGUUUUCAAGGUGGUACGAAACCCUGUAAUGAGCCAGCGAAUGGUAUUAUUACAGUCGAAUAAACUGAAGUCUGAUUUAUGAUGAUUAAAAUUAGUUUCUAGCAUAUGUUUUUCCUCUUUUCCCCAAAGUGGAAGAUAUGUGUCUGUAGCACCAACCAUUUUCAAAUUGCAUUCCCAAACCACUCUUUAAUUGUCUACUAAUCAGUUCAUGGGAGAGCUCAGUGAAGGUAGGUGACCCACUUCUCCAUACUUUAAAAUGUAAAUAUAGCACUUUAUUCCUUGGGGGGUCUCCUUGGUCCUCACAUGCAAGCCAACAGAUUUCUAUUGUAAAAUUGUUAGUAUUGUUAAAAUAGUAUACUUGAAUUUGAAGAUGUUAUAAGCAAAUAACAACAAAAGGCAGAGAUUUUUAAAAUGAUGUCCUAUAAAUAACUAUAGUCUGUGUAUCCAGCCAAAUGAGAUAAUGUGCGCUCUAUGGGCCCAGCCGUCUCAGAUCCUGUUCAGACAUAUGUGGGUAUCAAUAAUGAAUGAAUAAACUGAUUCAUCCUCUGUCUUGCUGAGUGUCUCUCUGGGAGAUACUGCUUGUGGCUCUUGUUUACCUAAAGAUCACUUUGAAGGCAGAAUGCUCUGUAGUCCUAAAUAGCAGCACCUUGCCUAGAGUUGACAUGUGCUCCUGUCUCCAAGCCCCAGGAUGGGAGCUUCUCCCUCUUGCCAAGGAGGUAGAGUGCACAUCCCGAAAGACGCCGUGGUGAAAGCACCGGGCUUCCCUGUGCCUCCCACUCAGGACUGUGUGAUGGAGGCAGGGGCCUCCUUCACCCAGCUGUGCAGCACCCAGCAGCUGCCCACCUCUGCUGCUGGUCCACAAAGUGGGGUUGGCUGCCUCCACCCUCAGGCAGGCACGCCAGCCCUGUCCAGUGGCCUCGAGGGUGGGGGUGGGUUGCAUGGGUGACAAUUCUUAGGGAUGCACGUGCUAACUGCCGUGAUUUUGAGAGAUUCUAGAACUUGAGCUCAGGUUUUCAUGUCAGGCAGGGAUGACUCAGUUCACUGUGAGGGUCUCCUCCAGUGUGUGGUGGAGACUGAAGGCCUCAGGCCUGUGAGGGCCCAGGAACGGCGGUCAUAGACUCGUUUCUUUGCCUUACAAACACUGUGGCUUAAAAUGACCACUUCUCCUGCUUGCGCGGGUUGGCUGGAGUGUUCCCUUUUUCCCUGAGCUGCUCACGUGACUACCUCUGGAGGCGGGCCCAGGCCUCUCCCUUCUCCCAGCCCUUCCUCUGGGAGGUCCACCAGGGGCUGGCUGGCUCCGGGGUGGUGGCAGCUGGGCCAGGGCUGCAGGGCUCAUCACACCUCGGCUUCCGCUGGCUAAUGCAGGUCACCCCGUCAGGCCCACAGUCAUCAGGGAGGGGACUGUGCAGUGAGACCAGGAGGCACAGCUCAUGGAGGCUGUUAGUGUAACAGUCUCCCCGACUUGGCCUCAGUUUUCUUGCCAGCUACAUGGGAUUCGUUGUUAAGAAUGCUUGGGGAGGGGGCGGUGCUGGGGAGCCUGGGAGUCAAGAGAUGUGUUUUCUAUUCCAGAUCUGUCUCUGAGUGAGCGUGUGCUCUCGGGCUCCAUCAUCCUGUGAGUAAAGGCAAGGUCUUAGACCGAGUCAUCCAAGGCCCACUCGCCCGCCCACAUGCGCACACACACGCCCAUUUCCAUCUCCCACUCAACAUGGAAAUCAGAUAGGAUUGGAAGCUCCUGAAAGCACUAAGUUCUAUGCAUCACAGCAUGUUAUUACCAACCCUAUUUAUGUAGAAUUCUUGUAGAUAUAUUUUGUGUUGACUUGUCUUUGCUGUGACAAAAUACCUGAGGAAAAUCAGCUUAAAGGUGGAAAAUUUUAUUUUGGCUCAUGAUGCCGGAGGUACCAGUCUGUGGCCUUGGCUCCAUUGCUUUGGCCCUCUGGCCAGGCAUCCUGUCAUAAUGGGAAGUGCCUGGUGGAACAAAGCUACUCGCUUCAUGAGGCCGGGAAGCGAAGAGAGAAUAAAGGGGCCCUGGACAAAAUGAGCCCUUCAAAGGCAGCCCCCACACUGCAGCGCUUCCUCCACUGCCCGGUCUCCUGCAGUCACCAUCACCUCCCAGCAGCACCACCCUGGGGACCAAGCCCUCAACAGUUAGGGGCAGACGUGGCUUUCUUUGGCUGGACUAAGUGAGGAGCUGGGGUAGAAGCAGAACGAGGGGAGCUCUCGGUUUAAUUCCUGACCGUGGGCUGAUGGCUACCGGGCUUGCUGGGCUUCCCUGCUGGCCACCAGUGGUACUAGGGUGGCCUCCUGCCUGGUGGCCGCGGGUGGUGGGUCCGACUUCUGUUUUCACGCAAGCUGUUGCAUCGGGUGUCUGCAGCCUCCCAAGUCCCUGGACCCGAGAAGCUGAUCUUCCGUCACUCCUUGUCCUCGCAGACCCCCUGUCCAGACCCUGCAACGCUGCCUCGGCGUCCCCCACGUGCUCUCGUCGCUCCUUCACCUUCUCAAAGUGCCUGUCCCCAGGGCUUGUCCUAGCUCCUUCCCUCUUGAGUCCCAUAGCGUCCUGAGGGCAGGCUUCUGCUCACCCAUUGCUGUCCCCAGACCUCAGGACAUCUGGUCAGCUUAGAGUUGGUCAAACAAAUCUGCAUCUCAAAAUUACGGCUCCUGGGCUGGGGUCGUGGCUCAGCGGCAGAGCGCUUGCCUGGCAUGUGUGUGAGGCCCCGGGUUCGAUUCUCAGCACCACCUGUGAAUAGUAGAUCAAUACAGGUCUAUCAACAACGGUAUAUAAAUUACAUCUCCAGCCCAGGUUUUCACCUUUCUCCACAGCCUAUUCCUCUUCCUCAUGAUGUCUUCAUUCUCUGAAGUCCCAGAUCCCCUCUCUUGUCCCUUCUAGGUCCCCAGUGGGUGUCCCUCCACCCUUGUUCUGGCCUCAGCCUCCUGCCUGGUCACUGGGCUCCAGCCUCUCUCUGGUCCAUCUUCCACACCUUUCCAGGAUCCCCUUUCCAGGAUCCCGGAUCUCUGUAGAAGCCCUCCAUGGCCUCUAGCUACAUGGUGCUGGACAUAUGCUCUCUGAAACCGCCGUUCACAGUGCUCCCUGCUCCUUGACAUGCCCCUGGCUCCCCAGUCCAGUGGGUCCCAUGAUUGCUUCUAGGCCAGGCCUGUCCCUUCCCUCGCCUCUGCUGUCUUGACCACACUCCAGGCUGAGCGAAUCCCCUAACACUGCCGUCUCUCCCCAUGACAGUCACACGGAUGCUCUGUGCUGCGUCCUCUGUGCAGACAGUGUCUCUGUUGCUGAGCUGAGCUCACCGCCAGGUACGUGCUAAACAUGCAUCGAGAGAAAGGAUGGUUGGUGCCGCUGCCCUGAGCAUCUGGAAGAGCCCUCACAUCAAGUGGGCUCAUACUUGAAUGGAUUUGAGAGUGACCGCUUCCGACCUGCAGUUGAAGCUUGUUUAUUAAGUUUGCUUGUGAAUCGUGAGGUCCUCUAGAGGGGAGCUGAAUAAGACUUCAGGACCCUCAGUAUUUACUUAGCCCCCCUUCUGAGGUUCCGGUAAACUGCUUUGUGUUUGAAUAAGGACUUGGUCCCUUCUCCAGGAGAUCCUCUUUCUGGGCCUGUGCCGGCAGCAUGGUCGAAUGCCUAUUUCCCAACUUGCAUCCAGAGAAAACUGGCUUUUUUCAUUAGAAGCUCAGUUCGCAAUACGAAGGGACCUAAAUUGUUUACUUCCUGACUCAUUAAUAUUCUGCAGUGAUAUGUCAUGCUGGAAAGAGGGACAGGGUGGCAGAAUUGGGGCCAACAGGCGGCUGGAUCUGGGGAGAGGGCAUGCUGAGGACGAAGUGGUGGGCAUGUGGGACCACCUCGGAGACCAGCCUAGUGACAAAGAAGUGGCUGCCUGUGCCUCGUGCUGUAUGAAAACGCCAGCCAGCUUGGUAUCUUGGUCCCUGGAUUUCCAUUACCCGAUGAAGACAGAGCAUUCAGAGAAUGCCAGGGAGCCCCAGCCUGGGAGGUGAGCACGGAGGACACCGGCCACAUCUGCAUAAUCACAGCAUUUUAAACCGUGAUCAGAUAAAGCAGAUCAUACAUGAUGACCAAAAAUCAAAGCAGUUACAAAUAAAACAGAGUGCACUGUUGUUAAAAUGGCUGCAGGUUAUAUUCAGGAACUGUUUUUGGUGGCGUUGGCAUUCCCACUGCCGCAGACUCACCUUUGCCCUCUCGGGUGGCGACCUGCCGCCCUGCUCUGCUACACUCUCCUCCUCUGGCUUCUCUGCCUGCCUUCUUGCCCUGACUCCCUCUGCCUAGUGUGCCUUUCCCCUUCCUCCCAUUCCUCAGGAUGGAAUUAGAGCUCGACUCCCCUGGGGUUGCUUUCUCCCCUGCAGCCACAGAGGGUCCUGUAAUUCUUAACACACACCACGACCUCCUGAUGUACCUUGAGUGCAGGUCUCUGUGCUCCUCUGUGUGCCUCCCUUUGGUAAUUCCUGAGAUAAGGAGGACCCUGCCUAGGUUGCUUUGAGAUCUCCCUCCAUCCUGUGACCAGCAGAGGGCCUGAUACUUAUCAGAAGGCUAGAAAUGGUAAUUUAACGAAGUUGAACUAGUGGGCUGUUGAGACUCUGCUUAGCUCCAAGAGAACAGCUCUCUUCCCAUUGUUGCCCUUUUAGGCCUUCUAGCCCCACUGUCUUACUCCAUUUUUCAUUGCUAUAGCAAAAUACCUGAGACAAGAUAAUUUAUAAAGAAAAGAGAUUAAUUUUGUCUUUGGUUUUGGAGGCUGGAAUUCUAAACAGCAUUGUGCAGGCUCUGGUAUGGGCCCUUGGAUCCAUCACAUUAUGGUGGCGUAUGUGUGUAUCCGUGUACCAUUGGGGUACUUUCCUUUUUCCAGGAUUCAACCAUGGAAGCCCUACCUAAUGACCUGAUCUAAUCUAAUACUUCCCAAAGAGUCCACCCUCAUGACCAUAGUUGGUAAGCUUCCAUCUUCUUCACACCAUUAGGUAGUACUUAAUAUUCGACCCUGCCACCCACCGUCCUUGACAUCUGUGGCAGGUCACUCUUGAGCUCUUGACAGGAGGUGCCUGGCUGCUAGAAUGUCAGAGCCCAAGGGUUCCUAGGGGCCUUCUCACCGGGCCUCACUCACAGACUUGUGUUACCCAGCUGAUGAGGUGCAGGCUCCCUCUGCCUUCACAGAAGCUUUGGAAUUUAAGGAGCUGGCUGGGCCCCGAGAGCUGGGGCCUGGGCUGGGUUUCGGGCGUUUCUGUAACUAGCCGGGCCAUUGGGGUACUUUCCCUUUUCCUGUUAAGAUCAUGAGUCACAAACCAGUGACCUAUGAGUAGAAUGGGGUCUGGAAUCUCCUUUUUCCAAGUUUAAACAUCACUGCCCUUCGACAGGGACCUCGUUGCAGCUGGCCCCGGCCCCUGCUGUCGCCCACCUCCUUGGGCUUUCCGCUUCCUACCUGCACUCUCAGGCCUUCGGGGACUUCCGUGGUGACAGUGCAGUCUCCACCCUGCUCACUUCCCCAUCCGCUGUCCUUGCUGGCUGCUGAAGGCACUUAGACCUGAAAUCCUUGCAUGAGAAGGUCACCCAAAGCCCUUCCUGCUCUGGCAUCCAGUGCACCUAUUGUUGGCAUGAGUUUCUGAGUUCAGUGAAUCCAGAGUCCCUUAGUGUUCCACUGAGUUAGAACUCACUUAUCACUAGACACGUUUGAACAAGAGCCAGAAAGUGGCCCUCAAAUUUGCAGAGCAGGUCUGCUGUCCUGCAGGCUGAGUGGGCUUGCACCAAGCCCACUCACUGUCUCUGGCACAGCAGAGUGGCUUGUCACCAGGGCCAGAGCCCUAGUGCUUGAUGGCUGCAGUGCCAAAUGGCCCAAGACCCCAGCCAGCCUGCCCCCAAGGUUCUCUGCCUCUUUGCCUCCCCCUCCCCCUCCACAGCCUGGAGUGCUCCCUCUGCCCGUCGCUAGGAGCCCUGCAGGCCACCGCAGUAACUUGCACAGUCAGCCUGGCCAGAAGGGCUUGUGGGGGCUCCAGAGCAGCCAGAGGUCAUCCGUCCCUUAUGGGAUGUGGCAUCCUUUAGGGUGGUAGACUGUGUCUUUUAACCACCAUGCAACACCAUCCUUUCCUGUUAAUUAUCUGUGACUGCUUUUGAAGUGCUGGGAGGAGAAGCAUUUAAGUUGGGGAGGGCCGGAAGUCCACCCAAGGCACCCAGAGGCACUUCACAUGGAGGCUGUUUCUUCUAGUGACACCCCACGUCCACAGAAACAGUCACACCACCCCUCUUGUGCUCUGUUUACCAAAGAACAUCAUGUCACUAAUGGGAUGUGUUUUCCUCCUCAAGGUGACGUUCAUCUGCAUAGAUGAUCACUAUAAAAAGACAAAGAUUUCUGAGAAGACCUGGUACUUCUGAGGUCUCUGUAGGGGGAGGUUGAUUACAGAACUCCCCCGUUCAGGUGAGGCCUCCCGUGAGAACACUGGCGAUCCAGAGUCAAAGACCGUCGCACAGGGGCGAUGACUGGGGCAGACCCUGUCGACCUCACAGCACACCCUGAGCACCCGAGUCACCUGAGCAUCCUGUUGCAGUGCAGAUUUGCAUCCCGUAGGGCUGGCGUGGGCCUGGGGCGGUAUUUCUAACAAGCUGCAAGCAGAGGCCUGGGGUCCAAGGUUACCUGGAACUUUCUCUGGACCCUGGUUCUCCACAGUAACCUUUAAUGGAAGAGAACUCUGAUUGUAGGGUUGUUGAGAGCGAACUGAGGGCUGAGCUAUGUAUGACUUCCAUGUUCCUGAGCCCAGGGGCGAGGACAUUUAAAUAAAGCAGCAGAAAGUGUGGGUGUUUGGAGGAGGGGAGACAGGGAUGUGUGAAAAGCUCCCCAUUUCCUGAUUCCUCACUAGGCUUCUCCUCUUUUGUGAGCUGAUGCCCAUGACCCAGAAAGCACACAUCCCAACAAAGUUCUCCCACAGUUGGACAAGGUGGAGCUCUUGCCGAGUUCAUUUAGUAAAUUGGUCCUGAAUCUUUAAAUUGUUGUUAGGUGUAAAAUCAUACAUCUAGAAAGACAUUAAAAGAUUAUAUAAAAGAUAAUGCAUGUGUGUGUCCGUGAACUCCCUGGGAAAGCGUGUUUGUUGGUAUGUAAGUGAGCAAAUUUAGUGCUUGGAAUGGGUUCCUCAUGUGCCUUGGGACUACGGGUUCAGCACAGGGCAGGGCAGUGGGGUGGAGACAGGAGGGGAGGACAGGAUGGGCCACGUGGCUGGAUGGCUUACAGCAGAUUACUUUAAUUUUGGUGCAAGAGUGAUCUAAGGAGCUGACUUAUCAAUGUGUAGAAGAUUGCAGUUGCAAUUUGCUGGUUAGUCUCUGUUCUUUGAAUGCUUUCCUGAAGUGCCAUUUUGUCUCAGUAAAAUGCUCCCUAAAAAUACUCAAAUAUUUUUAGUUGUAGAGUACAAAUCAGAUUGAGCUGCACAUUUCCCUGGUGAGCAAAAGUGAUGAGUUUGUGUUCAUUAACUUGAGGCCAUCUGGUGCAGACACGCCGCAGUCUGUGAAUCAAACGUGCAUCAAACUCCAGGGAUCAGAAAGCGCGCCAGACCCAGUGUUUUGGAGAGUCAACAACAACCAGAGGGAGAAAGAGGCCUCAGCUAUCUUUUUCUUUUAUUUUUAAAAAUCAGGGCUCCUUGCAGUGCAUCAGAGCCUUCCUCUGCUCAGCUGGCGGAGCACAGCGCCGUCUCGCCGUUGCCCAGCUCCACCGUCUUUGGAGUGUGCUUCCGGAGAACUCAUGUGCCCCGCGUCAUCUCCGUGAGGGCAGAGGGAGGAGAAAGCACAAAGGCCCUUUCUGAAUGUUUUCCUGUAACCAUAGGCCAGAGCCAGCCAUGCACGGUGCCCAAGGCUCGGUGAGACCCACUUAUGGAAGCAAAGGCCCGCUCCAGGUAGUGGGCGCCCACGGGGCACCUCAGGAAAACCUAGGAGAAGCCCCAGCCCCGGCUAGCGUUCCAUUUGGCCCUCUCACCACAUAUGAUUGGUAGAAUCUGCAUCAACUGCAAGAUCUGAUGAGUGGUACAUACCAACCCCACAGGAGCAAGGACGGAGCAGGAAGGAAGAGUGGGAAGAUCAGAUGAGUUCUUAAGGAGUUUCAUGGAGAAACAGAAUUUUGUUAUGGUUUUGAUUGUGCAAUUAAUGUGUGUUUAUUGAGGAAAAUAUAGGUAAGCAAACAGGAGAGAGUAAAAAGUGCCAUGAGUAUUUAUUUAAACACUUUGGCAUGUAUACUUCUGUUUCUGUCUCUAUGGCCCUAAGUACCUUAACCAAUAGAAUCACAGUGUACAUACCUUGUUUUGUAACCUACCUUUUCAGUGAUCAAUAUUUGAUAAAUGUAUUUUCAUACCAUUAAAUGUCAUUUUGAUACCGCCUGUUA